GUUUUGAGAAGUGAGAAUUAAAUCUAAAUUAAAAAGCCCAAAUAAGAAUGCAUCCAGAAGCAGCCGACGUUCUUCCAGGAAUCGGUCAGCUGAAGGGUUCUGAAGGUGGGAAGAAAGGUCUAAUUCAAGAGAAAGACCCACUCCUGGUGGAGAAGGCAACACUACCUACAGGUGUUUUUGCUGUCCAUGUGUUUGGCUGCCGCAACUUGUACUUUGAAGAAAACUUUCCCCCCGAACACUUUGGAAUUUAUGUCCAAAUAACAGUUGGCUCAGUUAUCAAAUGCACUUCAUUACAGUUACCUUUCAAAAAAGGUUGUGUGGUCUGGGAUGAGAUUAAGAAUUUCUCUGUUACAGUCUCUCCCAAAGCAACAAGUUCAGUAAAUGAAGUUAACAUUGCUGUCCUGGGGUUUGACAGAUUGCAGCCAAUCCCAAAACACAAACUUCUUGGUAAAACUGAGUUUCACAUGAUCAAGCUUGCUAAGAAACAAUGGUCUAUGGAGACAUUUGAGUUACAGAACAGAAAAAAACAGUAUGCUGGAGAUAUCCAAUUAGAGCUUGCCUUUGCAUAUGGCUUUUAUGGUUAUGGCUUGUGUGAUCAGCUGGAAACCCAUCAUCCACCCAGAUAUUAUUUACAACAAAGUGCAUUUCCACACUUGGAACUUGUCCCGCGGGGUUCAGGCAACAAUGCAGGAAUUAAAUUUGCUCCAAAGAAAGUGCCACAUCCAAGUGUGAUCACUUUCAAAGAAAAAAUAAUGGACUUGGAGCCAGAGUUUAGCCCAUAUUAUACUAAAACAAACUUUAUGCAAAUGGACAACAAAACAAGACCCCGACUGCAGCAAAAUAUGACAAAAUUGAGUCAGAUGUAUUCUGAGUAUUCCCAAUUGACUUCAAGAAGUAAGAGAAUCGACUAUUUGAGAAUGCUCCUUCAGGAGAAGGAUGUACAUGGUGCUGUAACUGGAGACCAAGAGAGUGACUCUGACUCAGCAGAAGAAAAUCUUGGUGAUGUAACUCAGUUUGGUCUAACAGAAGCACUUGCCCAGAUGGCAAACUUGACAUUCAUGGCAGUAGGACCUGAACUGAUACAAGAGGCUGAGAAAGAGACGUCUCAUGAUCCACCGACUGUUCAUGAAGCAUCAGAGGUUCUUAUACUGGGAGAGCCUUUGAUAUCCACCCUACCUUAUUGCUAAGGGAGGAGAGGGUAGAUGAAUAACUGUUGUUAAAUAAGUUUCUACUGAAAUCUGUUUUAUGUGUCUUUCAGCCAGAAGACCAGCUCAGUAAAGGUAAUUAGUAUCAAAAGCAAAACGUUUUAAACUGUAUAAAAACAAAAAUAAAAAAGAAUAUUUUGAGUAUUUCAGUUUAAUGUGCUUAUUAAACAACAUUUUGAAAGGUAAUAAUUUUAUUAGUUACAAUUUUUCAGUAUUGCGUAGUAUUCUGAAACAAGUAAAACCAGUUUUGGGUUCCAAUGAUGGUGGUAAAACUUCUGGAGACUAUCCAUAAACAUGAACUGACUGCCAGAUGGACGCACCACUAGAUGGUGAUACACGAGAUAAAGAUGAAGCCAACAUCAUGGCUGCCGUCUCUCGUGGUCGCUCAGCUGUUGAUGCGCGUAGGCCAUUAGUGAAAACAAGGAAACCGAACAACUGUUAACAAACGAACUACAUCCUGAUACAGCCAGUUCACUGUUUCGUCGUUGUCCUUCGCGGUAACCUCUGGCUUUCCUCCUUUUCACAGUAUUUUUCUUCUACGGCUUAGAAGACGGCAUGGAUAUGUUGCUAUUAGGUGAACACUAAAAAGCAAACCAUUCAGGUCGAAUUAUUGUAUUUGUUUGUUUUUUCAAAGACGUUUUUUAAAGUAGAAGAAUCAUUUUACAAUUGCUGUUGCCUUUUUUUGUAUGUUUAACUACUUGAAUAGUUAAAUUUGGCUUCUUAUUUUACAUUUCUUCAGUUCCAUUGUGGUCUGUUCAGUUUUACAACCGCUUUUAGCACUCGAGUUUCCUAGUU